rnacentral:rRNA from 1 species
UACGUAGGGUGCGAGCGUUGUCCGGAAUUACUGGGCGUAAAGAGCUCGUAGGUGGUUUGUCGCGUUGUUCGUGAAAACCGGGGGCUUAACCCUCGGCGUGCGGGCGAUACGGGCAGACUGGAGUACUGCAGGGGAGACUGGAAUUCCUGGUGUAGCGGUGGAAUGCGCAGAUAUCAGGAGGAACACCGGUGGCGAAGGCGGGUCUCUGGGCAGUAACUGACGCUGAGGAGCGAAAGCUAGGGGAGCAAACGGG